UGUUGGUUGCUAGGAAGGUGGUGGUUUAAUAUAGUUGGAAUGGCUGAACAGUUAAAUAGGUGGAUAGUUUAACCCAUUCGUGCUGGAUGCUGCAUGACGCAACAUUCUAUCUCCCCACAUUCUAUAGCGCAGCAUUGACUCUCCCGCUGGUUGCUGCAUAGCGCAGCAUGCUUUUUAUUUCAUGUUUCUAGGUGUACAGAGGCUUAGAUAUUAAGGGGACAGUCCACCA